rnacentral:rRNA from 1 species
AGGGAAUCUUCGGCAAUGGACGCAAGUCUGACCGAGCAACGCCGCGUGAGUGAAGAAGGUUUUCGGAUCGUAAAACUCUGUUGUUAGAAAAGAACAAGGAUGAGAGUGGAAAGUUCAUCCCUUGACGGUAUCUAACCAGAAAGCCACGGCUAACUACGUGCCAGCAGCCGCGGUAAUACGUAGGUGGCAAGCGUUGUCCGGAUUUAUUGGGCGUAAAGCGAGCGCAGGCGGUCUUUUAAGUCUGAUGUGAAAGCCCCCGGCUUAACCGGGGAGGGUCAUUGGAAACUGGGAGACUUGAGUGCAGAAGAGGAAAGCGGAAUUCCAUGUGUAGCGGUGAAAUGCGUAGAUAUAUGGAGGAACACCAGUGGCGAAGGCGGCUUUCUGGUCUGUAACUGACGCUGAGGCUCGAAAGCGUGGGGAGCAAAC